AUUGAACGCUAGCGGGAUGCUUAACACAUGCAAGUCGAACGGCAGCGCGGACUUCGGUCUGGCGGCGCGUGGAGAACGGGUGAGUGAUGUAUCGGAACGUGCCCAGUCGCGGGGGAUAACUACGCGAAAGAGUAGCUAAUACCGCACACGCCCUACGGGGGAAAGCCAGGGAUCGUAAGACCUUGCACUAUUGGAGGGGCCGAUAUCGGAUUAGCUAGUUGGUGAGGUAACGGCUCACCAAGGCGGCGAUCCGCAGCUGGUUUGAGAGGACGACCAGCCACACUGGGACUGAGACACGGCCCAGACUCCUACGGGAGGCAGCAGUGGGGAAUUUUGGACAAUGGGGGCAACCCUGAUCCAGCCACCCCGCGUGUGCGAUGAAGGCCUUCGGGUUGUAAAGCACUUUUGGCAGGAAAGAAACGUCGCGGGCUAAUACCCCGUGGUACUGACGGUACCUGCAGAAUAAGCACCGGCUAACUACGUG
rnacentral:rRNA from 1 species